AGAACCAUCACUGAGUUCUCCUGGGACGACGCCUACUCCUGCUUCACCUGGAUUAACUGUGUUUGAUGAAGGAACAUUAUGACAUCUGCCUGUCUGUCCAAGUAAAUGGGGCCUCCAGUGGGGGUCCCAGCACCUUGUACCCUCCUAGAGAAGUAAGCGAGUCAGCAGCCAGGAAGUUGCCUAGUACAGUCAGUGCCAAAAGUGAUUACCAACACGGCAAAGGAACCAACUUAAAGGAUGCCUACAUUGAAAAGAAAAGGCUAGAAGUGCACUCCAUGCCCACUCAUCAUCAAGAAAAUACCACCAGGUGCUUGCACAGCAAAAGGUUGUGACCUACACACUACCACAGAGGAUGAAAUGGUGCACCCAGACACAAAUACACAUACACACACAAGCACACUGACUGUUCAACCAGUCCCAGGGAAGCAAGCACCCACACCCACACCCACACAGAACUGUAAGCCUGAGGAAGACAAGCACUUGUGUCCAUAGAAACAAUGUUUACUCACUCAUUGUACCUCACAAAGGCCUGCCUACAGAGAAUGAAUGAACCAUGUGACCAUACAGUACAAUACAACUCAGCCACGAGACAGGUCAACUGUUGACACACAAAACCAAGGAACCUCAAAAUCAUCACAUUGUGCUCACUGAAAGAAACCAGACAUCAGACUGAAUAUCAUAUGAUUCUGUGACAUGGAAACUUCAGGGAAGACAGGACUCUACAGGUCAGCAGAGCUGAGGAGGGUGGGGCCAGGAGCCGGGGCUGAGCACUUAAGAGGGCUAGGUGGGAAGUGUUACAAAACUGCUUCAUGGCAACAGAUGCGUAAAUGCAGGCAUUUUCCGAAAGUCAUUGACCUGUACAGCCUCCUAGGUAAAUUGUGUGGUAUGCAAAUUAUUCCUCAAUAAAACUUCUUAAAGGAAAAAGGGAAAGAGCUACAGUCCAAGAAACAGGCUUUUCCACUAACCACAAGAGUGCACUGGACCAUACUUAUCCCCAUGGCACCAUGAGGUAUAAGCACAGCCAAGGCUAACGUCACUGUGCCAGGGCAACACAUCGCCUUUGCUAUCAGCUGACUAAAAACACCUCCCACCCAGCCUCCACCUUCAUCCUGACAUGGGAUGGGCAUCAGCUCUCAAGGAAAGCUGCCAGCUCUCCCUCCACUCCUACCCUCUAUCCCCAGAUCACGCGGUGCUGCUGUCAGAGGACAGACACCUGGAGGCAAUAUGUAUAUUGAAAGCUGUCAACAGGAGAAAAUGACAGGACAGAGCAAAACCUGGAAUCACUUCAGGUUGGGAAGGAGGAAGCAGGCAAGGAGAGCUCCAAACGUAUUGCCCAAAGCCAGGACAUAAGCUUGUCCUAAAAGGAUCAGUGAGAGCCGCCUGCCCCUACAGGGACCUGGAGGAGUCCCUGGAAAAGAACAGUGGCCCAGAGGCCACAGAUGUAGAAAUAUGUCCUACUUGAGCGACAAACACUGUGAGGGGAAGAAGGUGUAAGAACAUGAGCAGGGGAGACAGCACCAGUGCAGAAGGAAGCUUCCGGGGAGUCCCAAGUGUUCCCGCAGGCCGAGGCAGUCAGACAGCAAAGCUGCAGAUGAGGCUCCUCUGGGAGCAGUGCCAGGUCACACAGGAGGCCGUAACCGUUAGCCACAUGUGUUCAGGCUCAGUGAGUGGCUGCCCAGCCAUCUGGCAGCAGCUCGGCACUCAGAGACAUAGUGAAGACGAGGCUGCUGCCCCAUGGGAUGGGACCCACAGCAAGUUCCCCACAUGGGAGUGGGAUGUCAUUACCCAGCAGCACUGACAAAGGCAGGUAUCCCCACUCCCUGCUUUAGUAUCCUCAACCAGACUUCCAGGUGUGAUUCCUGCUUGCUGAAGCAUAAACAGGCAGAAGCAGAAGAUGAACCAAGGUCACAUGUCUGAUCAGAAAGGCAGGGGAGCACUGAAGCCAUGGCUCAGCAGUUAGGAAGGUACUGCUCUUCCAGAGGACCCAAGUUUGGUUCCCAGCACCUAUGUUGGGCAGCUCAGAAACACCUGUAACUCCAGCUCCAGAGGAUUCAAUGCCCUCUUCUGUCCACCACGGGUAUGAGUGUGUGGGUGCGUGGGUGCAUGGGUGUGUGUGUGUGUGUGUGUGUGUGUGUGUGUGUGUGUGUGUGUGUGUGUGUACAAUGCAAAUAAAUAUAAAUAUAUUGUAAAGAAUGGUACCAGGGCACACACUGACUCAGAGUAGGUCUAUCUGAACCUCCAAGGGGAGAAGAAAAAGGUCUGGAGCAAUCUGAGAGGGAAGCGUGGCAAGCACAUCAUCUGGACGGUCCAACCAUGUGAGGUUAGAGACAAAGAUGCAGAUAGUGAGGGUCAGACUAAUGCAGAUAAAUCAUGGAGACAGUGCUCUGGGGUGCAGUCAGUUUAGAGGUUGAGUAGGCCCUGACCAGAGAGCGGGAGCUGGUCCAGUAGUUCCAAUGUGAAAAGGCAGCUCUAUUCUGCAUGCAUACCCCAGGACAGAGGGCACAAAGAAUACCCUGUAACCUCAAAAAACUCCAAGGAAAAGCACCAUAUCCUCAUCGAGAGAUAAGCCAUGAAGAUAAAUGGCCCAAAGCCACAAUGGUCAAUCAGUAUGUCAAGACUCUGCAGUAACUAGCCCAUGGAGACAUUGAGAAUGAGCUGAAGGCAUUCCAUGUGCAAAACAAACCCAGAGCAGUGUUCUGGACUUGCAGGGCACUAGCACUCUGGUACCACACUCAGGGCAUAUUUCUAGCCAGGAAUCUCCUUACAUCAACAGCAAGACCAGCUUACCUAGAGCCCCUCCAGGGCCCGAGGCCCUCUGCAUCAAUCAGGGUUGAUCUAUACAAGUCAAGCAUCCUCUAUAGGACCAGCCAGACCAGCUCCUCCUUAUGGCAUAGGGCAUGCGGCUAUCAUCCCUCUGGUAGCAUGCCACCUCUCAGAGCAACCUUUCACAGUUUAAUGUUGGGGAGCUAUGCAGGCACCAGGGGUGCACUCAUCACUAAUGCCAAGCAUAGACACAACAGUGACUCAACUGUCUCAAAGAUGAAGUCCAAAGGCAUGCUCACAAAACAGAGCAGUUGCAAGAAACUGUGGGCUUAGGAGCCAGCCUCCCACAAAGCCCGCAGGGAUGCUGCAUUAAGUUGGUAGACCACACCCCCAAUCUGCCAAUAAUAGAGUAUUAAUUAAAUCAGAGUAGAAUUUCCAUUUCUGAAUCAAAAUUCUCCUCACAUGAAAACAGGCAAUGGCCUCUCAUUGGUCUUACAUUUUGAACGCUCCAUUCUCCUUCAUCACUAAGGAAAGCCCAGAAAGCUUUCUUACCACCGCAUCUUGUCAGGAGGUUUACACCAGGGUCCUUAGUCCUUUAAGAGGUUCAAGAUCAGGCUGCCUUCCCUGAGACUUAGUGCUGGACCUUUCUAGGUUUCACUAUGCUUGAAGGCCAAACUCUGAACUAUUCUUCAGAAAAAAAGACAGCCCGAAAUGGCCACCAGAGCUUCCAAAUUCCCUCCCUGCAACUCCAAAGGCAGUGCUUGCAAGGCAGACCUAGCUGGCCAAGGCUUUACUGGACUGCCUAACAGAACCAAGAGCCUGGCCAGCGCAGGCACCUUCUCAGGUCUUUGGAGAGUCUGUCAGUGUGGGAGAUUCCCAAGCAACCUACUGAAAAGGACUCGUCUACUGCACUGGAAGGGGAACAAGUCUAUCUUCUCUGUCUCAGGCACACUGGUCAGUCAGUAAGCUUGCAUCAGGGCAGGAAACCUGGUGUGAACAUGGCUGUCCUGGAACAGCACAGGACAGAAGGCGAGCAGCUCACAGCUGAGGCCAUUUCCAGGGGAGCCCAUACUCCCUUAGCUAUAACCUAGGGAAGCUGGUUUUUCUUCCUAAGUCUAAGCCUCUCAACUGUAGUCUUACUGCCUGGGACAGGGACUCCUGGAUUUCUGUGACUUUCCAAUCAGACCACCAAGUCCAUGAAAUCCCAUCACAGAUUCCAACACUAGGCAGCACCCCCCCCCCCAGCUACUGGGAGGAGGAUCCCUGCAUGUUGAGCCUGCUCAGGUGUCUGAGUGGACUGUAUGAACACAACUGCCCCACAAAUGUCACUAAACCAUCCAACAGCUCUACCCUCAGUGCUGACUUCAAAGAUGGAAAAAGAUUUAAUAUUUCAAGCCAUCCCCAUGCUCCCAGGCCCCUCAGCACCCCUGGAGCAAUGAAAGCAUGAACAAUGGAUGAGCCCUCAUGGCCAGGGGUACUGCAUCCUCAAAGGCUAGUCAGUAACAGAGAGACACAUGGUCCUUCUCCCUUCACGUUGGGACAGAGUUGGGGUUGGGGCAAGCAGAGCAUGGGAGCAGAGGACCACCAGGUGUAUGGCAAAAGUCUAAAUAAUGUCUCUCAAAAUUCUAAACAUUGAAAGAAGCCAGGAAAUGAUGUCUGUGGAAAAUCACCUGUGUUUACAAAUCAGAAAUGGUUUCAUACCAUGGUCAAAAGCACCAGUAACAGUAGCAUAAAUGUUGCAAUAGUGCCUCAUUUGAUCCCACCACCCUGAGAGACAAGUGCUGGGCCUGUCUUACAGACUCAGAAAACUGACUACAAUUCAGACUGCUCUCUGAAAUCUUUGCUCACGAACAGCACAGCCAAAAGGAAGAAUGCUGAGACUCCUAAGCCACCUAACUAUGGCAUGCAUGUAGAGAAGGAAGAGAAGGAAGAGGAGGAGGAGGACGAGGACGAGGACAAGGACGAGGAAAAGACAAGACAAGACAAGACAAAACAAAACAAAACAAGACAAGACAAGACAAGACGGGCAUCCAUAUAUAGACAGCAUGGUAGCCCCUCAGAAGCAGGACAGUUUCUUCUGGACUCAGCAAGUCCUCUGCAAGGCACACCCCAUACACCUUGUGAGCCGAAAACACCCACACCAGAGUUCACAACAGUUUUCACAACCGAGAUGCAAAGGCAGUUCAAAUGCCUACUAAUUGGUCACUGGACAAACACAAGCACACAGGAACAACUCUAUCCCUAGAAAAGCAUGGAGCGGUGAUGCAUGCCAAGACAGGAAGAAUGCUGAUGACUGACUCCUUGCUAAGUUAAAGAAGCCAGACACAAAAGCCACAUUCUCCACAGGUCUACUUCCAGGAACCAGGAACCUCCAAACAGACAAACCAGAGACGGCAAACACUCUAGUGGUGGGCAGUAGUAAUGGAAGGUGAAGUCAAUAUACACGGCUUCCCUGGGAAGUGACUGGAAUGUUCUAGAGCUGACUGCAAAGAAGCAACCCUAGUCCUGACAUCAAGAAUCCCAGAGUAGGGGUUGGGGAUUUAGCUCAGUGGUUCAGUCCUCAGCUCCGGAAAAAAAAAAAAAAAAGUAAGAAUCCCAGAGUGAAGAAGUGUGGGGCAGAACCUGGGAAGAGGAAUGAGGUAGAGACUGUCCUCAUGAAGGCUAUGUAGGACAGAACAGGCUUGUGGGAGCCAGACUAUAGCCCCUUCCACACCAAUGGUGAAAACCUGGCAAAGAGGAUAAAUCUGAAGAGGGAGGUGGGAGAGGGAAUGGGCCAAGGUAGCCUGGAGUCCACCCACCCACAGCAGUUCUGACUUGCCUCUCUCCAUCCCAUGGCUCAAAAAACAUCUGCUGACUAGGGUCCCUGCUAACACUGCCAGUUCUGCAAGACCAUGUCUGCCUGGAAAGGGUCACUUGGGAGUUAACUAAGCUAAGCAGGAAACAAGCUCCGAAUGACAUCUUACUCUGAAUACAUAGCAGGACCAGGCCAGCACAGCCUGACCAUGUAAGGGAGGGCGAUCUGAAGCAUUUACCUUCUCCGUUCACUACUAGUCCACGAGUGCAGUCUAGAGCUACAAACACAGUGGUUAAAGCACCAGCCAGAUCAGCAGAACGAUCAUAGCCUGGUUCACUCAUUCCCUCUCUCCCAGUGACAUCCAGUCAAACUAGGAAUCAGCCAGAGGCAAUGUGGCAGUCACUACUAGAAAAUGAGAAAGUAGCAGAUGCUUCUGGAUACCUGACAAAACACUUCUGAAGGGUCACCAGCUGGGACAGAAGUCCUCAGAAAACGGGCUGAAGGCUCUUCUCCCAAAGACUGACUGAGCCAAGGUGGUUUUUUCUAACACUGUGCCAUGACUUUAACUGUCUCACUCUUACCAAAGGGACCUUGGAGCUUCCUUGCCCUGGUCCUGGGUAUAAAGCAACCAAUCCCUCUGCCAGUAAGCAGAGUGUCCUGUAAUGUUCUGUGCUUAACAUUUUCAGUUCUGACAUUUAACACAAUGAGUACUUACACGCGCGCACGCACACACACACACACACACACACACACACACACACACACACACACACGUGCGUAAACCCUGAGCGGUUUUUAAGAACACGAAACAUUUCGCCUACAGUGAAGCAUUAGGACUAAAAGGUCAAAGGGCUCCAAGCACCAUGAAGGCCCUCGGCAGCACAGUUCAGCAACUGCAGUGGGCCGCCCUGCCAGGCAAGGAUGCCAGCCAGGACGGCUGGUGAAGACAAGAGCAGGCUGAACAAGAUGUUCUGGAGAUCCCAGGGUACUGACGACAAAGCUAUGAUUAAAAUUUACAUACAUGGGCUAGGGCCUAUAGCUAAGCAGGGAAGGCCAGGGUUCAACCCCCAAUUUAAAAAGAAAGAGGUACAUGUUUUAAGAGGGGUCCCCUGUGGUUUAGGAAGAGGAUGGAAACAUAGGAGGGGAGACUUCUGAAACUAUAAAUGCAGAAACGAACCACCUACUGCUUGUGCAUAAAAGGAAAAAAUGCCCUCCAGAGCCAGCAUGACUGUUUCAAAUCGGACACUUUCCUCCUGGGAGCUGAUUCCCUCAAACAACAGCUAAGGCACUGGGCAGGGGAGCGCAUGUUUCCCACAGCAAGAGCUCCUUUACACCACUGGAGAGGUAUGUCUGUCAUCAGGGGCACAGUCAAUCGCACUUUCUGAGUCCAGUAUAGCUGAGGAAUUAAAAUCUACCUCACUUGAGAAUUUGCUACUUUCUCUCCCCAGCUUCUUUCCCACAACGCCCAAUCCCUGACCAAGGAAGCAGGCCACAGAAUGUGAGUGUGCCCUUCUUGGUCAUUCCAUUAAGGGUAUGCCUGUCCCUGGGGACUGGUUUGGAAUUAACUUAGGAACAAUUCGUCAAGACAGAUAUUCCUUUUAGAUAUAAAUGUAGUGCAAAACUUCAGAGAGCCUUAAGAAAACAAGUAAAAAGUCAGACACUAUGUUGCUGAAAAGUGAGUUAAGGAAGGCAUGGUGGUCUACCAUCUUUAAUCCCAGCAGACGCAGGUGACGCAGGUGGAUCUGCCUGCCUAGUCUACACAGUAAGUUCCAACGCCAGUGAGGGCUACGUAAGGGCUCCAUACAUAAUUAAUUCACCCUCUUUAAUAUCGGCGGAGAGAAGUGUGUUACGUAUAUAUACGAUUGAAACGCAACAGAAACUCUAGAACUCAGAAUCAAAAAUUACUAGAAAGAAUGUUUCUCACAGCAAAAUUAUUUUCCCUUGGAGAUGAAAGUGCCCCACCAUGCCUAAUUUUCCUGACAUUUCUGAGGCUUUGAAGCCACAGCUAACGGAUCUGAAUCAUCUGAACAAAACCACGCUACAGUGACAAGUUACUGGAAGGCCUAGAAUAGAAUGCUAAAUAUACAGGCACACACCCAUACAGGCCCUUGUGGAAAACGAUCACACGUGAAACUACAUCAAGUUGUCCAAAACUUGAGAGGGCAGACAGUGCCUCUCUAGCAGGGAACUAGAACACGGAUGUGUCUGUAAGUGAAAAUAACAAAAUAUAGUAAUAACGCCUGCCUUUACUAAUAAAAGCCAAGCUUACACUGUCUGUGAACUCAGUUCAGUGAAACUCUUCUCCCAUGCUCCCUGCCAGGAAGGAAACAGGACCCUCGCCUGAAAUCUACAUCAGGCCUGUAUCCAAGCCCUGGCAUCAUCCCAACUGUUCACCUAGGCAAGGGGAGGGAGAGGGAGAAAGGGGAGUAUGUGGUUCCGUAGUUCCAGCUGUGGCAUUACCCUUUCUUCUUAAGCAAGCGUGCCACUUGGAGCCGCAUCCUGCUUUAUUUGGGUUGGCAGUUUAAGUACCAACAGCGGGGUGGCAUCAUGGCUGCAAUGCUGAACUAGGUCAGCCCCAGCCUGCUCCAGGGAGCUCCCAGUGCCCCAGGCCUCAGCUCCCUUCUGCCUCCCAGAGGAGAAAGCCCAGGGUUCCAGGGUGGGACUGGAGGAACUGUUCUACAAGAUAAGGGCCUUUGGCACCAUUUUUGGCCUUGAAGAGCUUUUCAUCACCGGGUUCAUUUAGUAAACAGGAAUAUAAAGUCCUCCAAGGCUUGAAUACAGCUACCUCAUUUGAGUACUAGUGCUAUUGCAAGUAACCUGGCAAAAUGAGGGUGUCUUACUCCUCAGGCCCCUCACAAGAUGGGACCAAGGGAUGACACCUAGGUACCAGGACUCAGAUGAUGGAGUUCAAGGUUUGGGACUGAGGUCUAUUGGGAAGAAGGUUCAGGGAUGGGAGGUGGGGUGCAGAAUUAGAGGCAGGGAUCCCACUCUAGGGCCAAGAGUAGGUGUAGUAACUCAUGUUUCAGGAUAGAGACUCAGCAUUCAGGGUCAGUGACGUCUGGGUUGGGAGGACAAGGAACCAAAAUUUGAACGCUGGGUUUCUGGAAUCAGAAACAGACUUUGGGGAUCAGAGUCAGAGACUGAGAGCCAGGGGUGAAUCAGGAAACCCGGGGUCAGCGUGUGCUUAGGUUUGGAGGCCAGCACAACCAAGUAUCAGGAUUCUGGGUCAAAACUCCAGGUAGGAACUUGUGGCUAUGAAGUUCCGGAGCAGGAAAGGGAUAGGGAUUUGCUAUCUCAGAAGGAAAGCAAGGAAGCAGCAUCAGGAUUCAAGGAUCUGGACUUAGUAGUAUGGGUUAAGACAGGGGUUCAAAAGCUGAGUUUGGCCUCGGGUACCAGAAAAGCGGUGUUAAGGUCCCGGGUGUAUAGCUGGAAGUUUCCUGGCCUAGGGUACCCCCACUAUGAGGUCAGGGUCUGGGGCUUGGGAAAUCCCUGGUCGGAGUCUCCAGCUGUGGGUAGGGGGCAUCAGAGUUACACGUCCAAAAGACAACUGGCCAGGGGUUCGCAGCUAUAGAAGGCACUGUAGGGGCCGGAAUUUAGGGUCUCCAACUGUAAACGGGGAUGACAGGGUCCCGGGCUGGGAGACUCCUGGCCCGUAGCCGCCCCUCCCUACCGACGGCGCGGCACUUACGUCGUCGAAGAGCGAGCCCACGUUGGCCGUGACCAGCAGGACCGCGGUGCCGGGGGCGGCCGCCUUCCCCGCCAUGGUGCCCGGGCGGAGCGGGCUCUGGACUGGGUGGCGGCGGCCGCUUCCUGCGGGGCCGGUAGGGCUGGGGUCUCGCGGGGCCGCGGGGCGUCAGCUGCGCCGAGGGACAGCACUGGGGCGCAUCGCGGGCUUGGCGGGUCGGACCGGGCCUGGCCGGGACUCCAGCCUUGCGGUCGCUGGCUCUUCGUUGCUCCGCGGCCCCGCGCCCGCUCGCCGCCGCGCCUCACAGCGGCCCGCGCGCAGCCAUUAGACCCGCCGGGAAAGUUCCCGCAGCCGCCGCCGCCGACUCCGGCUGGGACAAGUCCCGCCCCACAGGAGGUGGGACCCUAGAAGGCGGUGCUGUCGGUCGCGCCGGAGGCGGGGUCUCCUUGUGGGGCGGUGCCUACACACAAUCUACAGACCUGGGUCAUAGGCUCCCUGUCUCAGGGCCGGCUGGAAGGGCGGAUCCUCGGGCAGGAGCUAGGCUGGGGGGUGGGGUCUGUGCAGGGGCGGGCCUGCUCACAGGAGCUGGGCCUAGGGUGGGGAGGAGCCAACACCAGUGAAGGGGGAGAGGCGGGCAUAUGGGGCAUUCCUGUCUGUCAGGCCCCUGAGUCCUCCCCGGCUUUGCCCCGCCCUGCCGCGGUUACGCGCAUAUUCCACCCUCCACUCCCAUGACGUCACGGCCCUGCUAACAAGGCGCCUCUUAAAGGAGCCGCGAGUUUGGAUGACUGCAGCCCGCCCUCUUUUAGCCUCUCUUGUUGGGAGCCCUGGAGCUCCUAGAACCUCUAUCCUGCCCCCGAUGUGGAACGCAUUUCAGCCCGGGUCCAGGCCCUCGCCGGUACGGGGAGUCUGACGUAGGUGGAUCGUGGGAGGGAGCGAGGUCACAGAGAAUUGAGGAGGAGCCUCCUCCUGGGUCUGCAAAGAGUGGGUCUGCAGAUCAAGUGUAUGGGAUUUUGCAAUUUCCUAACACGUCCACCCAGUUCCUUAUAUAGGACUUUGCUUACAAGACAGAAAGCUGUUGGCAUCCAGAAACAGAAAUUUUUUUAAAAAAAUCAUUUUAAGAAGCAA